AGAGUUUGAUCCUGGCUCAGAUUGAACGCUGGCGGCAUGCCUUACACAUGCAAGUCGAACGGCAGCACGGGGGGUAACCCCUGGUGGCGAGUGGCGAACGGGUGAGUAAUACAUCGGAACGUAUCCAGUAGCGGGGGAUAACCUCUCGAAAGAGAGGCUAAUACCGCAUACGACCUACGGGUGAAAGAGGGGGAUCGCAAGACCUCUCACUAUUGGAGCGGCCGAUGUCGGAUUAGCUAGUUGGUGGGGUAAAAGCCCACCAAGGCUACGAUCCGUAGCUGGUCUGAGAGGACGACCAGCCACACUGGAACUGAGACACGGUCCAGACUCCUACGGGAGGCAGCAGUGGGGAAUUUUGGACAAUGGGCGCAAGCCUGAUCCAGCCAUGCCGCGUGGGUGAAGAAGGCCUUCGGGUUGUAAAGCCCUUUCGGCUGGGACGAAAAGAUUCGGGUUAAUAACCCGGAUCCAUGACGGUACCAGCAGAAGAAGCACCGGCUAACUACGUGCCAGCAGCCGCGGUAAUACGUAGGGUGCAGGCGUUAAUCGGAAUUACUGGGCGUAAAGCGUGCGCAGGCGGUCUGCUAAGAGAGAUGUGAAAUCCCCGGGCUUAACCUGGGAACUGCGUUUCUAACUGGCAGGCUUGAGUGUGGCAGAGGGGGGUGGAAUUCCACGUGUAGCAGUGAAAUGCGUAGAGAUGUGGAGGAACACCGAUGGCGAAGGCAGCCCCCUGGGCUAACACUGACGCUCAUGCACGAAAGCGUGGGGAGCAAACAGGAUUAGAUACCCUAGUAGUCC
rnacentral:rRNA from 1 species